rnacentral:lncRNA from 1 species
CCGCGUUCUCAGGAUGACACAUCUGGAAGCUCGUGUUCAUCUGGACCAACAUGGCGCAUUGGUGCCGUGAGCCUGUCAAGGUGUGACCUGGUUUCUGUAAUCACAGUGUGCUUUUCUUCCUUAGGCCUCAUAAGUAGUCCACAGAAAGACCAUACAUCCAUCUGGAUCCUCCUCACACCUUCACCGUGCCCUGAGUGUCCCUUGGUUGCUCUGAUGGGAUCCAGUACUGAACGUGAAAGGAUGACUUUCCAACUCCAGCUCUCCCUCCAUAAUUUCACAACUGUUGGAACCCUUCCUUAUCUACUUAGUAUGAUAUUGACUCAUAAAAUGUAUAACUCACCACCGCCCCUGAAAUGUAACCACAGAUCCUCAACAGAGUGAAACCUGAGUUUUCCCAAGAGAACUUUAUGAACUCUGGCAACUCCCCUACAGCAUUCAUUUCUGCAUCCCACCAACACAUGCGGCCAUUUCCCUGGUAUUUGCUACUGUCUCAAACAUCACAGAACAGCUCCUUUUCUGCAAGCCGUCGCCACGGGCUCUGUGACACUUCUCCCUGAGUUCCGCUGGCCACUCUUUCAUUAUGCGCCAUUUCCUCUGUUUGCUGCUGAAGAAUUCUAAGGAUUUAUCCCAGAUGACUCUUCUCCCUCAUUACCUGAUUUUUCUUGCACUAAAAGAUAAGUACUUCUUUCUAUGUCUUUGGAUUUAAUAAGCACAUAUGUAACAGUAACAGCCUGGUAAAAUAACCUCCAAGGCUCCAAACAUGACCUCUCACUUGAGGGAAAAAAAAAACCUACUGUAAGGAGGUGUCACAAAUUUAGCAUGUUCUAAACUGCAAUACUCAUCUUCCUUCUACCUUUAUCAACACACAGGAAUCCCUUGAGAGCACAAAGAAAUGUACAUUCUAUAUUCCGUAUCCUGUAAGUCUUGAUUCAGCC